rnacentral:tRNA from 1 species
AAGGAAAUGGCAGAUCGUCAUGCGGUUGACUUGAAAUUAACAUAAGGGGGUUCAAAUCCUCCUUUCCUUA